rnacentral:misc_RNA from 1 species
UUUCCGUAGGUGAACCUGCGGAAGGAUCAUUACUGAGCCCGGGGGCCCCCAGCGGGCCCCCGACCUCCAACCCCAUGUCGUUCUAACAACAGACGUUGCUUCGGCGCGAGACCCCGCGGCGGCCCAGGCGGCCACGGGGGAACCGCCGGAGGUACAACCGAAAACACUCCGCGUCAACCUGUCGUCAGAGUAAAUUCUUUAAAUGAAUCAAAACUUUCAACAACGGAUCUCUUGGUUCUGGCAUCGAUGAAGAACGCAGC